CCUCCUUANAGUUUGAUCCUGGCUCAGGACGAACGCNGGCGGCGUGCUUAACACAUGCAAGUCGAACGAUGAAGCCUUUCGGGGUGGAUUAGUGGCGAACGGGUGAGUAACACGUGGGCAAUCUGCCCUUCACUCUGGGACAAGCCCUGGAAACGGGGUCUAAUACCGGAUAACACUCUGUCCCGCAUGGGACGGGGUUAAAAGCUCCGGCGGUGAAGGAUGAGCCCGCGGCCUAUCAGCUUGUUGGUGGGGUGAUGGCCUACCAAGGCGACGACGGGUAGCCGGCCUGAGAGGGCGACCGGCCACACUGGGACUGAGACACGGCCCAGACUCCUACGGGAGGCAGCAGUGGGGAAUAUUGCACAAUGGGCGAAAGCCUGAUGCAGCGACGCCGCGUGAGGGAUGACGGCCUUCGGGUUGUAAACCUCUUUCAGCAGGGAAGAAGCGAAAGGACG
rnacentral:rRNA from 1 species